UGGGGAAUAUUGGACAAUGGGCGAAAGCCUGAUCCAGCCAUGCCGCGUGUGUGAAGAAGGUCUUCGGAUUGUAAAGCACUUUAAAGUUGGGAGGAAGGGCAGUAAGUUAAUACCUUGCUGUUUUGACGUUACCGACAGAAUAAGCACCGGCUAACUUCGUGCCAGCAGCCGCGGUAAUACGAAGGGUGCAAGCGUUAAUCGGAAUUACUGGGCGUAAAGCGCGCGUAGGUGGUUUGAUAAGUUGGAUGUGAAAGCCCCGGGCUCAACCUGGGAAUUGCAUCCAAAACUGUCUGACUAGAGUAUGGCAGAGGGUGGUGGAAUUUCCUGUGUAGCGGUGAAAUGCGUAGAUAUAGGAAGGAACACCAGUGGCGAAGGCGACCGCCUGGGCUAAUACUGACACUGAGGUGCGAAAGCGUGGGGAGGCAAACAAGGAUUAGAUACCCUGGUAGUCCACGCCGUAAACGAUGUCGACUAGCCGUUGGGGAUCCUUGAGAUCUUAGUGGCGCAGCUAACGCAUUAAGUCGACCGCCUGGGGAGUACGGCCGCAAGGUUAAAACUUAAAUGAAUUGAC
rnacentral:rRNA from 1 species